rnacentral:lncRNA from 1 species
AGGACAGCCCAGGCAGGGUGCGCAUCGGUGUCUGACUUUGCAGUGGCUGGAGUGAUGGCUUCCAAGCUCCUUACAUACUGAACCAGAAAGUAGAAGAGACCAGGAAGGUUAUGAAGAUUGAAGGAAAUGAUCCAGGAAAAGUGUCUAGACAAUGUCUGGCAAUAUGUCAAUGAGGAAAUGAUGGAUUCCAAAUAAUUGGUGUAAGUUUCAAAUAUGCACUUGUCGUAAAUGAGUGACAAGAAAUGCUCAUCUCUGAUGUUAGAGAGGAGCCCCA